AUUUCUGAGGUUGAAAAUAAUACAUUUUUAUGUGAAGUUCAUAUUUAGUCAAUGAACCCUCCUUAGGGUGGGCAGUUCCACCUCCAUACCCAUCUUGUGGGAGAGAAAGGCUUAAGAAUCCUCAGGUGUCCUUAUUCAAUGGAUUCACUCUGACCUGGUGGAAAUUAAUUCAUCUCCAAAACAAAUGACAGCCAUUUCUGAAAGGGUAAAAAACUCUUAUUGCAAAGAUAAAGAUUAGACACUUGUGCCAGCUCAGUAAGUCCUUCUUUGGUGCAGCUUCAUUAGCUCCCAGUAUUUAUUCUAUAGAUGAAUUUGAUUUCUUAGUGCCAAUUCAGGGUACUGUAACAUAUUUUGGUACGUAAGGUGUCUUGUCUUCAGUCAAAUAUGGUAACAAGUCUGGUGUUACUGUAUGCGGGAUAUAACUUGAAGAAAGUAGUCACUGACAUUUUGUGAAGGGACAGCGUUCUGUCCUGAUUCCCUGCAGGUUUGUGGCCAGGGAAAUGUUUGGCCCUGAGUGAGGCUCAAGGCUCAUGAAACACUUUGGGGAUUUUGCAAUUGAUUUCUGUGUGUUUAUUUGAUUGGGAGCUUAUUUGCUUUAUUUAAAAAAUAUCUUUCUGGAAGCUCCGUUGCUCAUUACAAUGAAAGCUCUGGCAGAAAAUUAUUCACUAAAGCUAUUUGUUCUGGGAUUAAAAAAAGCAGAUACAACAAACCGUUCCCCCUUCAGCAGAGUCCUUUCCAUUUUCUACCCGUAAGUCCUCCUUUCAUCUCUGAGCCUUUGAUGAUUCAAUGGGUCAUGAGGACACAAUGGUGAAGAAGGAAAUAUUUGAGUACAUUUCAAACACACUCAAACUUUGUGGGUUUAAAAUGUACUUACAGACCUGAGGCUGGUCAAAAUCUCCUGUGUUUUCUGUUACAGUUCUUUACAAUCAUCCAGGCAGCACCCGAAGCGUGAGAACCGCACACCUCUGAGCCCUGGCACCACCAUAACAUGGACAUGGUAGUACACGCGGAAGGGAUUCCUCUUCUACUGUCUGCAAAAUGGCAGACCAAGAAGGUGAUUGUCUGCUGUAGGCACACAUUGCUCACAGUCAAGAGAUGGCACAUAGAUGAGCACAUCUGUCCUGGGAGAUGCUUCCAAGCUGAAGAACAUUUCUUUGGGUCUGAUCAUCUCCAUGCUCUGUGGGCUUUGCUCUGGGCUUCGCCACCAACACCAUUCAGCAGACACCCAACAGCUGCUGAGUGACAGGAGCUAUCAGGAUCAAGAGGAAUUCACUGUCGUAACGGUCCAAAUGUCACACCAUUUUUGGAACUCAUGACCAAGAAUGCAGCUAAAUGUGUUUUGGACCAUGCAUGAAGCUCAAUGGUGCUCCAAUCCCUCCAGCAUGGAAUUCCUUUAGCUGAGGUCCUGAAGUCUCUCUGGAUUUCUGUGGACCUGAACAACAUAAGCCUAUGACCUUCCCUCUGCUUCUCCCUCCUGGAAGGUAUUUAAAUAAGUGUCCUGGUCCACUCCAUUCGGUGGUGGGUCUUUGCUGGUAACUGCUGGUGGGCUCUUGGGGAUGGGUGUGAGAAACAGAAGGUAAGGGUGGAUGUGUACAAACAGUGCUGAUUCACAUCAGCUGUUCGUUGAAACAGAACAUAAGAUCUAUGUCUAUCUUACUACAUUGAGAUUGCAGUGGGGCCAUUUUCAUUAUUUUUUGGAAUGCUAAAUCUUGCUGUCAGAUCUUUGUAAAUUUCUCCUGAGGGACCCAGCCUCUUAGGUUAAAAUGGAGUUGCUUUUUUCCCUCCCUCUGAAUACUGGGCUGUUUCAGUUCCAUAUUUAAAUCAAGAUGAUUCGUGGUUCUUCUCAUGACUGAAAUUUACUUUCAAGGGUAAUGUGUAAUGCUCUGAAAUGGGUUAGGUAGUUCUUGGUCUGAACUUGUCUUGGUGUGUUUUGGCUGGGCCACACUUGAAACACAAAACUAGAGCAUGUUGAGAGUUGCUCAGGUUUGGGGCUGGUCACUUCUUGCUGCUACAUCCAGCACCAACA